GCUCGUAGUUGGAUUUCUGUGGGGACGGAGCGGCCGGCCGCAACUUGCGGUUCGAGCUAGCGCUUUCCCUACAUCCUGCCGCGAACCGUGCUACCAUUAGUUUGGUGGCGCCGGGGAUCGGCUCGUUUACUUUGAGAAAAAUAGAGUGUUCAAAGCAGGCCACACGCCUUGAAUAAGUUAGCAUGGAAUAAUAAUAAAGGACUUCGGUUCUAUUUUGUUGGUGUUCGGGACUGAAGUAAUGAUUGAUAGGGACAGUUGGGGCGGUCAGUAUUCCAAAGCGAGAGGUGAAAUUCUUAGACCUUCGGAAGACUAACAGCUGCGAAAGCGUUCCGCAAGGAUGUUCCCUUUGAUCAAGAACGAAAGUUGGGGGAUCGAAGACGAUCAGAUACCGUCGUAGUCUCAACUAUAAACUAUACCAGCUAGGGAUCGGCCAACGUUAAAUUAUUCGACUUGGUCGGCACCUUAUGAGAAAUCAAAGCAUCUGGGUUCCGGGGGGAGUAUGGUCGCAAGGCUGAAACUUAAAGGAAUUGACGGAAGGGCACCACCAGCCGUGGAGCCUGUGGCUUAAUUUGACUCAACACGGGAAAACUUACCAGGUCCAGACAUAGUAAGGAUUGACAGAUUGAUAGCUCUUUCUUGAUUCUGUGGGUGGUGGUGCAUGGCCGUUCUUAGUUGGUGGAGUGAUUUGUCUGGUUAAUUCCGUUAACGAACGAGACCCCAGCCUGCUAAAUAGCGCGGUUGAGCUUUGCUCGGCGCGAGCUUCUUAGAGGGACUAUGAUGCGCGAUAGCACAUGGAAGUUUGGGGCAAUAACAGGUCUGUGAUGCCCUUAGAUGUUCUGGGCCGCACACGGGCUACACUGGCGCCUGCAACGAGCAUAUCAGCUGGCCCGAGAGGGUCUUGGCUAAUCUUUUGAACCGGCGCCGUGCUUGGGAUUGACCAUUGCAAUUGUUGGUCAUGCAACGAGGAAUGCCUUGUAAACGCGAGUCAUCAACUCGCAUUGAAUACGUCCCUGCCCUUUGUACACACGCCCGUCGCUCCUACCGAUGAAUGUCGAUGAAUUUCG
rnacentral:rRNA from 1 species